AUGAGAUGUUUUAAUACAGGCAUGCAAUGCAUAAUAAUCACAUCAGGGUAAAUGGGGAUCCAUUACAUCAAGCAUUUAUCCUUUGUGUUACAAACAAUUCAAUUACACUCUUUGAGUUAUUUAAAAAUGUACAAUUGGCUGGGCACAGUGGCUCUCACCUGUCAUCCCAGCACUUUGGGAAGCUGAGGCAAGCGAAUCACUUGAGGUCAGGAGUUUGAGACCAGUCUGGCCAACAUGGUGAAACCCCGUCUCUACUAAAAAUACAAAAAUUAGCUGGGCGUGGUGGCACUUAUCUGUAAUCUCAGCUACUUGGGAGGCUGGGGCAGGAGAAUCACUUGAGCCCAGGAGUUCGAGACUAGCCUGGGCAAUUUAGCAAGACCCCAUCUCAAAAACAAAGCUACAGCUUAAAAGAAAAUCAGACCAUGUCACUCUCUGCUUAAGGCCUUCAAGGGUUUCCUCAUGCAUUCAGGAUAGAAUCCGAAGUCCUUAGAAUGACCCAGAGGGACUGACACAGUUGGGCCUGGCCUCAUCCCAUGGCAGUCUCCUGCUCGUUCAAUUAGGCUGUGAUGCACUAGUCCCUCCCCCACGUGCUCCCCAGAUUUAUUUCAUUUUAUUUUAUAUUUUUUUGAGACAGGGUCUUGCUCUGCUGCCCAGCCCGGAGGGCAGUGGUGUGAUCAUAGCUCACUGCAGCCUCGAACUGCUGGGCUCAAGCUAUGCUCCCACCUCAGCCCCUCAAAAUAUGAUGAUUACAAGCAUGAGCUACUGCACCCAGCCCCUAGCUUUAAAUAUUUAAAGCAUCUAAACAUAGAAGAGUUGAAAAAGUGGUAUAAUUGUCACUCAUACACCUAUCCUGAAAUUCAAUAAUUACCAUUUUGUCAUAUUUUCUUUGUCUGUGUGCAUGUGUGUAUUUUGCUGAAAUGUUAAUUAAUUUAUUUAUUUGAGAUGGAGUCUCGCUCUAAUGCUCAGGCUGGAGUGCAGUGGCAUGAUCUUGGCCCACUGCAACCUCCGCCUCCUGGGUUCAAGUGAUCCUCCUGCCUCAGCCUCUUGAGUAGCUGGAAUUAUAGGCACCUGCCACCAUGCCCAGCUAAUUUUUUGUAUUUUUUGUAGAGACGAGGUUUCAUCAUGUUGGCGAGGCUGGUCUUGAACUCCUGACCUCAAGUGAUCCGCCUGCCUCGGCCUCCCAAAGUGCUUGGAUUUCAGGCGUGAGCCACUGCGCCUGGCCAACAUUUAAAAGUUAGUUGUAAGCCAGGCAUGGUGGUGUGGGCCUGUAGUCCCAGCUAUUGGAGAGGCUGAGGCAGGAGGAUCGCUUGAUCUCAGGAGUUUGAGGCUGCAGUGAGCUACGAUCAUGCCACUGCACUCCAGCCUGGGUGACAGAGCAAGACCCUGUCUCUAAAAUAAUAAUAAUAAUAAAUAAGUGAAAUAAAAGUUAGCUGUAGAUAUCAUGUCACUUGACCCCUAUAAUGACUUCAAUGUGAAUCUCCUAAAAAUAAAGACAUCUUCCCUUAUAGCCAGCCACAUGUCACCACCCUACCCAAGAAAAUCAAUAGAAAUUUUCUAAUAUUGAGUCCACGUUCAAAUGAACCCAAUUAUUCCCUGAAUGCAUUUUAAAGAUGUUUAAUUUCCAAAUCAGGACCCAAUCAGGUUUGCACAUUGUGGUUGGCUCCAGUGUCUCUUUGGAGUCUCCUAGUCUGGAACUGGCACUUCACAGUGUGGUUUGGGACCAGCGGCAUGAGCAUCACCUGGGAAUUUGCUAGAAAUGCAAAUUCACAGGCCUCACUCCCAACCUGAAUCAAAUUCUGGGGUGGGGUCCAGGAAUCUGUUUUAACA
rnacentral:lncRNA from 10 species